UUUGUUAGACUGUAUUGUGACAGCUGUCAUAUUAGUGCAUAUAAAAAACUUAUCAAAAUUGUUGAAUAUUUUUGUAGCCAACUUAAUAUUGGAGAUAGAAGAAAAUAAGCAACAUUUUUGGCAUAUUAUGCUUUAUUAUUUCAAUAAAGGUAAAAAUACAACUGAA